rnacentral:rRNA from 1 species
AUGAACGCUAGCUACAGGCUUAACACAUGCAAGUCGAGGGGCAGCAUGGUCUUAGCUUGCUAAGGCCGAUGGCGACCGGCGCACGGGUGAGUAACACGUAUCCAACCUGCCGUCUACUCUUGGACAGCCUUCUGAAAGGAAGAUUAAUACAAGAUGGCAUCAUGAGUCCACAUGUUCACAUGAUUAAAGGUAUUCCGGUAGACGAUGGGGAUGCGUUCCAUUAGAUAGUAGGCGGGGUAACGGCCCACCUAGUCUUCGAUGGAUAGGGGUUCUGAGAGGAAGGUCCCCCACAUUGGAACUGAGACACGGUCCAAACUCCUACGGGAGGCAGCAGUGAGGAAUAUUGGUCAAUGGGCGAGAGCCUGAACCAGCCAAGUAGCGUGAAGGAUGACUGCCCUAUGGGUUGUAAACUUCUUUUAUAAAGGAAUAAAGUCGGGUAUGCAUACCCGUUUGCAUGUACUUUAUGAAUAAGGAUCGGCUAACUCCGUGCCAGCAGCCGCGGUAAUACGGAGGAUCCGAGCGUUAUCCGGAUUUAUUGGGUUUAAAGGGAGCGUAGAUGGAUGUUUAAGUCAGUUGUGAAAGUUUGCGGCUCAACCGUAAAAUUGCAGUUGAUACUGGAUAUCUUGAGUGCAGUUGAGGCAGGCGGAAUUCGUGGUGUAGCGGUGAAAUGCUUAGAUAUCACGAAGAACUCCGAUUGCGAAGGCAGCCUGCUAAGCUGCAACUGACAUUGAGGCUCGAAAGUGUGGGUAUCAAACAGGAUUAGAUACCCUGGUAGUCCACACGGUAAACGAUGAAUACUCGCUGUUUGCGAUAUACAGCAAGCGGCCAAGCGAAAGCGUUAAGUAUUCCACCUGGGGAGUACGCCGGCAACGGUGAAACUCAAAGGAAUUGACGGGGGCCCGCACAAGCGGAGGAACAUGUGGUUUAAUUCGAUGAUACGCGAGGAACCUUACCCGGGCUUAAGUUGCAGAUGAAUUACGGUGAAAGCCGUAAGCCGCAAGGCAUCUGUGAAGGUGCUGCAUGGUUGUCGUCAGCUCGUGCCGUGAGGUGUCGGCUUAAGUGCCAUAACGAGCGCAACCCUUGUUGUCAGUUACUAACAGGUCAUGCUGAGGACUCUGACAAGACUGCCAUCGUAAGAUGUGAGGAAGGUGGGGAUGACGUCAAAUCAGCACGGCCCUUACGUCCGGGGCUACACACGUGUUACAAUGGGGGGUACAGAGGGCCGCUACCACGCGAGUGGAUGCCAAUCCCAAAAACCUCUCUCAGUUCGGACUGGAGUCUGCAACCCGACUCCACGAAGCUGGAUUCGCUAGUAAUCGCGCAUCAGCCACGGCGCGGUGAAUACGUUCCCGGGCCUUGUACACACCGCCCGUCAAGCCAUGGGAGCCGGGGGUACCUGAAGUGCGUAACCGCGAGGAGCGCCCUAGGGUAAAACUGGUGACUGGGGCU